AGCGAACGCUGGCGGCAGGCCUAACACAUGCAAGUCGAACGGACCCUUCGGGGUUAGUGGCGGACGGGUGAGUAACACGUGGGAACGUGCCUUUAGGUUCGGAAUAGCUCCUGGAAACGGGUGGUAAUGCCGAAUGUGCCCUUCGGCGGAAAGAUUUAUCGCCUGUAGAGCGGCCCGCGUCUGAUUAGCUAGUUGGUGGUGUAACGGACCACCAAGGCGACGAUCAGUAGCUGGUCUGAGUGGAUGAUCAGCCACAUUGGGACUGAGACACGGACCAAACUCCUACGGGAGGCAGCAGUGGGGAAGCUUGCGCAAUGGGCGAAAGCCUGACGCAGCCAUGCCGCGUGAAUGAUGAAGGUCUUAGGAUUGUAAAAUUCUUUCACCGGGGACGAUAAUGACGGUACCCGGAGAAGAAGCCCCGGCUAACUUCGUGCCAGCCGCCGCCGUAACAC
rnacentral:rRNA from 1 species